ensembl:lncRNA
AUGAUUGUAGAUGUUAACAGGGAGGCCGUAUUCCAGGCGACAAAGGUUCGAACCCAUCUGAAACAAGAUGGAAGCUGGAUCAACAGAUCUAAAAAUGUUGAGGACACACAGUCAGAUGUAAAAGCAAGUAAACCAAUAAAGCAAGGAAAACCUAAAAAUGUUUCAUCACCUGAAAGCAGUUCGAUCUCUUCCUCCGUCAUGCCAUGUACAGAGAGUACCACCACCUCCUCCAGCCUGGACUCGUCCACACCCCCUCAAAGCUCUUAUGUCGUGUCAGCCUUAAGGAAGUUUGAUGCACAUCCUGUCCUUGAGGACCCCAGGAGAGCACAUGUAGAGAAAGCAGUGGAGACAUCCAUAGCCAAAGCCACAGAGCAACCACUGAAGACACCAGCAGAUGCUUCUGUAAAGGACAUAGUGGAAAAACCAAUCGCUAUACCUGCAGACGAACCAUUGAAGACGCAUGCAGAUGUUUCUGUAAAGGACAUAAUGGAGAAACCUACAAAUAAACCUGUAGAGGAACCAAUGAAUAUGCAUGCAGAUGCUCCUAAAUUGGCUGUAGUGGAGAAACCUAUAGAGGAACCAUUGAAGACACAUGCAGACACUCCUAAAACAGACGUAGUGGAGAAACCUGUUAAAGAACCAUUGAAGACACAUGCAGACACUCCUAAAAUGUGCAUAGUGGAGAAUAUAGUUAAACCUGUAGAGGAACCAUUGAAGACACCUACAGAUGUUCCUGUAAAGAACAUAGUGGAGAAACCUGCAGAGAGACACACAGAGACUGUAGAGGGAACAAGGAAGACACCUGUAGAUGGAGCUUCAACAAAUCAAACACAAUCCAGUGGAGUGCUGCAGGAGAAAACAGUCAAAACCCUACAUGAGAACCCAGCAAAGCCUUCACUGACUACAGAGAAUAAAGAGGAUGAUACAGUUGAACAAGUCUCAAUAGCACAUGCACCUGUAGUAGAGGCUCUACUCGAACCCAGACAGGUAGAAAACCAGCCUACAAGUGAACAUGGGGAACUUUCACUAGUAUCUGCUCUGGAAACUCCAACUACAGAGUCAUCAACUAGAUCAACUACAGAACCAACCGAAGAACCCCGUGUGGCAGCCCUGGAAGAGAACCACAGACUGAACAGUCAAGCUCAAUUGAAGUAA